rnacentral:rRNA from 1 species
AGUGAACGCUGGCGGUAGGCCUAACACAUGCAAGUCGAACGGCAGCACAGUAAGAGCUCGCUCUUACGGGUGGCGAGUGGCGGGCGGGUGAGGAAUACAUCGGCAUCUACUUUUUCGUGGGGGACAACGUAGGGCAACUUACGCUAAUACCGCAUACGACCUACGGGUGAAAGCAGUGGAUCUUCGGACCUUGCGCGACUGAAUGAGCCGAUGUCGGAUUAGCUAGUUGGCGGGGUAAAGGCCCACCAAGGCGACGAUCCGUAGCUGGUCUGAGAGGAUGAUCAGCCACACUGGAACUGAGACACGGUCCAGACUCCUACGGGAGGCAGCAGUGGGGAAUAUUGGACAAUGGGCGCAAGCCUGAUCCAGCCAUACCGCGUGGGUGAAGAAGGCCUUCGGGUUGUAAAGCCCUUUUGUUGGGAAAGAAAAGCAGCAGGUUAAUACCCCGCUGUUCUGACGGUACCCAAAGAAUAAGCACCGGCUAACUUCGUG